GACGAACCGUGCGAACGUUGUUCGGAAUCACUGGGCUUAAAGGGCGCGUAGGCGGCCUGCUAAGUCGAACGUGAAAUCCCUGGGCUCAACCCAGGAACUGCCCUCCAAACUGCUUUGCUUGAGGCCGGGAGAGGUGAGUGGAAUUCCCAGUGUAGCGGUGAAAUGCGUAGAUAUUGGGAGGAACACCAGUGGCGAAGGCGGCUCACUGGACCGGUUCUGACGCUGAGGUGCGAAAGCGUGGGGAGCAAACAGG
rnacentral:rRNA from 1 species